rnacentral:piRNA from 1 species
UAACACUGUUAUUUGUGGUCGUUGUAGA